rnacentral:rRNA from 1 species
UACGUAGGUGGCAAGCGUUGUUCGGAUUCAUUGGACGUAAAGGGUGCGUAGGCGGCGCGGUAAGUCGGGUGUGAAAUCUCGGAGCUUAACUCCGAAACUGCAUUCGAUACUGCCGUGCUUGAGGACUGGAGAGGAGACUGGAAUUUACGGUGUAGCGGUGAAAUGCGUAGAUAUCGUAAGGAAGACCAGUGGCGAAGGCGGGUCUCUGGACAGUUCCUGACGCUGAGGCACGAAGGUCAGGGGAGCAAACGGG